rnacentral:rRNA from 1 species
GACGAACCGUGCGAACGUUGUUCGGAUUCACUGGGCUUAAAGGGCGCGUAGGCGGGUUGUCAAGUCAGGGGUGAAAGCCUCCAGCUCAACUGGAGAAGUGCCUUUGAUACUGAUGAUCUUGAGGGAGGUAGGGGCAUGUGGAACUUCCGGUGGAGCGGUGAAAUGCGUAGAUAUCGGAAGGAACGCCGGUGGCGAAAGCGACGUGCUGGACCUCUUCUGACGCUGAGGCGCGAAAGCUAGGGGAGCGAACAGG